rnacentral:lncRNA from 1 species
ACCAACUCAAAAUAUAUGUAGAUCUUGAGUAGUUAGAGGAAAACCAGCAUCAUAUUCAGGAUGCAAGUUCUCUGAAAAGAGAAAAAAGAAUAAUUACAGUAAACAAUAUACAUGUAUGAAGUAAAUAAAAAACACAAUUGUAACACAUUACAACUUAUAUACUCUGAUGCUUAAUAAUAUUGAUUAUCUUUUUUCUGAAAAGUUCUGUACCAGCA